rnacentral:tRNA from 1 species
GCUGGCAGUGGCCUAGUGGAUAUGGUGUCCGCCUAGCGACCGGGAGUCCAUGGGUUCGAUCCCCAAUGUGGGAGCG